GGUAGCGGGGGAGGACUACAGGGAUGGCUUCUGUUAGAAGCUGCUAGAAGCUUCCCCUGUCUGGUGGAGCCAAUGCCAGCUGCCUCCAGGACGGACUUCCCACCGCUGGCCAAGGCCGAGCCAAUCAGGAGUGAUAGUAAUGCCUCUGUGAUAACAUAUUUAAGAUCAGAAAGUUAUUGCACAGUGAAAAAUUCCAACCAGGGAAGAGUGGAGUGAGAACAUGGGAACAACAACGUAGACACCAAGUUGCAGAGCGGAGGAAGAGAGCAGCUUUAGUGGGUACCUGACAUCCAGCCAGGGUCAACCCACUACAGCAACCAUGAGGGCAAGCAGACAUUAACACUAGACCUUCUUUGGCACCUGUCCAGAGAGCAGAAACUGAAUCUGUGGGAAAUCCACCUUCCAAGUUGUUUUGGAGUCAUAACAUUUAGAAACCUAGACUGCUGCAGUCCUGGAUAGACUGACCAGGGUGCUCAUCAGCCGCAUCGCCGAUAUUGACAAUGACAAAUCCCUUCCGCAGCUCAGGAGAACCUUAAAUAAAUUCUCCCAAGACACUAGCAGGCGUUCUCCUCC